UUUCAAUCGGUGUACGGCACAGGAAAAUUUGAGUUUCCAGGAUAAAAAUUGAAAA
rnacentral:tRNA from 1 species